GAUUAUUCUUUUCUUUUUUUUUCUACCUUCAUCCUUAUGUCCAUCAUCGUCAUGAUCAUGGUGACACAAAGAUAGAAACACCAAAAGUAACAGAUAGGGAGGAAUAUAAGUGAAGAUGGAAGGAAGAAAUGAAAUUAAAAUGAUGAGAAAAGAGUUGAUUUGGUAAAGCAACUUGAAGGAUUUUCGGAGACGAUGAGUUAAUCAUUUUGAUGGAGAAGAUGAAGAUAAAUCAUAUCUUGAGACAAUUAAGAGACAAUUUAGUAAACAGUUUGAUCGGUGAAAACGAAACAAUCAAAUCUAAAGAGAAAACAAUUGACAUAAUGACAAUUGAGAUUCUUAUCUACACUUGAGGAGAAAUGAUAUUCCAAUGACCGGUGAUCAUGUUGACAAAGAAAAAGAGAAAAACUGUCAAAGAGAAAAGAACAUUUUUUUUUGUUCUAAUUCUUUUUUCAUUUUUGUUCUUUUCCAAAUGAAAUUGUUAAUUUUUGUUCCCAAUUAAGAGCCAAUGGUUAAUGUAGACAAUCAGCUUAUUAGCAAUUAACGAAUUUCAUCUUUAAUUAAACAACGAUUUUCAAAGAUAAAAGUGAUUCUAAUUGUGAUUAAAUGUCGUCUACUAAUCAAGGAGAUAAAUUGUCAGAAUUACAUGGGAACAAACAACCAGAUUACUUUGUGUAUGGUUAAUGUAUCUCAUCUUUACCUGAACACCAACUCACCUGAUCCUUGAAAUUGAACAUUAACUAAUUGUUUGGAUUUAAACUCUGUGGCCAGUAAUCAGAUUUAAUACUCUAUCUCCUUAAUUGUUACGUUCAUUAACCAUUGGAUUUUGUACAAAUCGUUUUGUCGCCUUUUUCGCGUGUAAGUUUAUCCAAAAUUUGUUAUUCCAUUUUCAGUCUUAUUCUAAUCCAAUCUUUUAUUUUCUCUUUCAUUUUAUUUGCUUGACACAAAAUGGUGACAAAUCUUAUGAGAGAUUGACCCAAGUCACUUAAUCACGCGAUGGUCAAAAAAAAACGUCACAACAUAAUCAUGAUAAUGAAUUGGUUUCUCUUUAAUACUGAAUAUCAUGAUAAUCUUUUGUUUUAAUUAUUUCUCCACUUAAUUAAACAAAAGAUUGGAUAAUAUCAUUUUACUAAUUGGACAAAUGAACGUCACUUUUUCAUGUUGCAGUCUGUUAAAUCUCAAGUUGGUAUCCCAUUAUCAUCAUCAUCAUCAUCAACAUAUCACAAUCAACCAUCAACAUAAUCAGCUUUGUCUAAUUUUCUUUGGAUUCUCUGUUUUUUUAUCGCUGAUAAUGACAGUUUUAUGCACCAAUCAAAUUUGAUCAACAAGAAGAUCGCUGAAACUUGAUUCUCUUUAAUUUUCAGCCUAUUCUUUCAUCAUCAUCAUCGUUUUGUGAUUCUACUUCAAGCUUACCAUAGGUUAAGGAAUGAAUAACGAGAAAGACCAAAAGAGAAAAGAAAAAAAAAGGAUUUCCAGUUUAUCAUGCAAAUGCUUUUCUUUUGUUUCCAUUGAUUGACAUUGUAUCAAGGUCGAUAUUGAACUCAGCUAUCCAAGGAGAAAGAAGAAAAAUCUUAUAAGGAAAAAGACCUGAACAAUGAAAGAUGAUUAAGGAAAAGAGUGAUGAUGAAGAGAGAAAAAAUCUUUCUUGGUUAACACGUCAAAUCUUCUAACGUCCAUUAACAAUAUUACAAAAAGGGUUACAUGGUGAAUCGUAACAAGACCAGAAUUGGAUGAUGAUGAAAAAGGAAAGGCCCAAGAAAAUGAUGAAGACUUGGAGAUGAAGAAAUUUCCUAAGACAGACAGAGGAGUAAAAAGGAAAAGGAAAGGAUUUUUUUUCUGUUUCCUGUUCAUGUAACUGUUCCAGUUGUUGUUGUUUAUGGUAUUGUUAUUUGUUACUGUUGUUUGGAUCAUUUUUGUUGAUGGUAAACUCUUGUAUUCAGUUUACUCUUAUGGUGAUUAACCAAACAUCAAUGUAGUCAUUUCACCAACAACAUGAUACGUUACAUGAUGAGCAGCAACUUGAUACACUUUUUGCUUUCAAACCAACACUUUUUUCACCAAGAUAAAUGAGCUAGUCAAUCAUUACAUUUUAACCAGAUUACAAUCAACAUCUACGCACAGAGAGAGUAUCAUUAUCAUCAUCAAUAUUAUUUCAUCUUGUUCAAUGAAGUCUUUUCAUCACAUCAUUGUUCAUUCACCAUCAAAUAUAAAUGACAUCGUUUUCUUGGAUACAUUAAUCCAAUCAAUCUCACAAGAUCAAAUUGGCAGAUCAACAGAAAAACAAAACAUAAUAUGCGAGAUUUUGGAUUGGAAAUUAUUGAUAUUAAUCGUGACGAUGGUUUAUAUUUAUCUCCAGCCAAAGGAUAAGGAUGCAGAUUGGGAAGUCAAGAUAGAAGAUUAAAUCAACUAAAGGGAAGCAACGAGAAGUAAAUUUAUCAUUGAUAAAUUUUUCCACUAAACAACCAGAAAUUAUAUUAACCUUUCUUCAUGAGUUUCCCAUGAAACGAGUAACAAAAUCAUAUGAAGGAAAAGAAGAAGGAAGAAAAUGACUGAUCAUUUAUUAAUGAUGAUGUGAAAUUUGAUCUUAAUGGUGAUGAGGAAGAUGGAAAAUGAAGGAGAUGAAAGUUCUGAGAGUGUUAAUUUCAUGAUUAAAUUUUAAUUCUCUAAUUGAUAAAUGAAAAGAUUCAAGUAAACAAAUUACAUGAAAUCAAUUACCAAGCAUCAUUGAAACAUAGAUAUCAUGAUGGUCAUAAUUUAGUCAACAAUCAUGAUGGAAACCAUAUACAAGUUGCAACAAUUAAAUGAGUUGAAAAAAAAACUUAACUGAACUUUUUUCAUGUCAGAAUAAGUUAAUGUAUUGAACAAGAAAAUUUAUCAAGAUUUAAGUAUAUGGAAGCUCAUGUUUGGUGAUAAUGAACUCAAAGUGUUUACAUUGGAGGAAAAGAAAGAGAGAAUAAAAAAAUUCUAUUCAUGAAAAGCUGAUUUUCCAUGAUGAUGAAGAAGAUUGGAAAAAGGUUUUUACUAUUAAAAGAAAUCACCAGAGUCUUAAAUAUGAUAAUCAAGAUGAAAAGGAAGAUAAACCAAGUAAACAACAAAGAAACUGGGAGAGAGAGCAACAGUCUAAUCUCCAGGGAGUUUUCCCUCCAAGAUAUUGGUUAUCAUUUGUAGAUAUCAAGGAUAAGAUGAUGAAGAUAUCAAUCAGAUUGACUGAAUAAUCAUGAACUGGACAUUACGAUGAUGUCCAGUUCGUAGUGGUGAUGAUAUCUCAUUGAUUAAGUGAAAAAUAUAAACAUCACUCGUUUGUUUACACUCUGAACUGUAAUCAUGUUGAUUAGCUGGUUGAUCAUUUAGUUGUUGAAUUAACUAUUAUUUGCUAACUUUAACCAAUCAAGGUUGAUUAUAAUCAUCAUCAUUACGAAGCUUCCAGUUAUUUAGUUGAUUGUUAACAAUCAUCAUCAAUUGAUUCAAUGGGAAUGAAAAUGAUAACUCCAAUUGGAAACAGCUUUCCAGUCCAUUUAAUUUAUUGAUUACAAUUUCAAUUCUGUGUGCUCAGAAUAACUAACAAUCAAGGAAAUUAUUAUUAUCAUGGAUUCAGGAUGCUCAUGUCUCAAUCAUGAUGAUGAGGAGGAGGAAGAUAAAAUUAACAUCAUCAUGAGAUGAUAAUAAUUAUUAUCAAAUUUAUGUUCGUGUUGUAAAAUUUUCAUUAGUUUACCUGAUGAAAAUCAUGAUCACACAAUUAAAAUAUUAAUUGUAACCCUUUUUUUGUCAUCGUAACAGUUAAUUGUUUGCAGGUCAAUUGUUUUCAUCUCAACAAUCAAUUAAUCAAUAUAUGUAAACACUAAUAUCAUUGUUAUCAACACUAAUUAAGACCUCAUGAGCUUCAUGUUUUUAAUUGUUUUUUUCUGUCUUUUGUAUUAGAUGAAAAGGAUUUUGUCAACAAUUAAGGAUCACAAUCAAGUUAAUUACUUUGGAUAAACAAUUGAUACUUUUUGGUUGGAUUGGAACUAAAAUUUUCAAAUGAUGAUCAGCAAAUUAUUUCAACGUUGAUGAUUGUUUCUUGUCACGCAAUUGGGAUAAUGAUUAUAUUGAUUAUAAUCAUCUGAUGAUCAGACAAUGAUUAUCAUGGUGAAGAUGAUUUAUCAAUGGAUUGAUGAUAAUUAUAAAUAAAUUCAUAUUUUUAUCCCUUUUUCCUCAUCAAUUCAUCCCUGAUCAUCAUUCAUCAUUCUAGUGAUUAGUUAACAGUUAAUUCAUCAUCUUUUUAAUCAUCAACGAUAAUAAUAACCAUAAUCAAGAGUCAUAAAUAUUGACCUUAAACAACAUUUAAUAUUGAUUGUUACAACAAUUUGAUUAGCCAUCACAACCAAUUGACACUACUAAAUUAUUAUAAUAAAUCAGUAAAUUAAAUUAAUCAUCACGAUGACAAUUAACUCAAACAAACUGAUACAAAUUCAGUUUCAUAAAGUAAUUUGUUAAUUAUCAUCAUUAUGAUGAAUCAUAAUCACUGUUAUUAGUGUUAAUUGUAAUGAUGAUUUCGUGAGUUAUCAAAUUAAGAUAAGUGUUAAUACAAUGAAACGAAAAUGAUCAAACAAUUAAGGAAACGAAUUAAAAUUUAAUUGUUACCCAAAAGACCAAUAAAAAAUAUUCGGUUGCAAUUAAAUUGAUUUUCAAAUAAUCGCUAUUUACUUAACCUUAAGAGUUUAAUUUCCUGAUGAACAUUGAAAAUUUUGCUAUAAUAUAUCAACAAAUUAAAUCGCAAGUAGCACAAUUAGGUUGAAAUAACAAUCAUUUAUCAAUGAAUUCAGUCAAUAGUAGACUAAUUGAAUCAGUCUAAUCUAAGAUAAUCAUUAGAGUAAUUAAAGAUUAUCUUAAUAAAUCAUUUUAAUCAACAGAGAGAUAAACAAGUUCACCUUGCAAAUGCUAAUGGAUUUGAAAGUUAUCAUGAAAAUGAGUAAAACUGAAUAACCACCAAGAGAUAAUCAUCUUUAAAUGGUCAGUACUAUGGUCAGAGAGAGAGAGAGAGUUAAUCAUCAAUUGUAUGG